rnacentral:rRNA from 1 species
UACGUAGGGGGCAAGCGUUGUCCGGAUUUAUUGGGCGUAAAGAGCGUGUAGGCGGCCUGAAAGGUCAGCUGUGAAAACUCGAGGCUUAACCUCGAGACGUCGGUUGAAACCAUCUGGCUAGAGUCCGGAAGAGGAGUGUGGAAUUCCCGGUGUAGGCGGUGAAAUGACGCAGAUAUCGGGAAGAACACCCGUGGCGAAGGCGGCAGCUCUGGGACGGUACUGACGCUGAGGUGCGGAAAGCGUG